GCCAGAUGGUAAGCAGGUAGACAAAUCAUCAAUCAGAUGGUCACAAGAUCGAAAAUAAUGCCACAUUUUUCAUUUUUGCAAAAAUAAGCAGGUCUGUAUUUUCUUCAAUCCUAUUGAGUAGGCAGGUGUUACUCAGAGGAUCAUGCUCAUCAUCAACAAGCAUUUGGUACUAGACAAGAGUAAAUGUUUGACGGCAUAUCUCGUUUAAUCAUCACAUCAACCCUGUAAGGCGGCUACUGCUGACUCCAUUAGGCAGAUGGCUCAGAAGUUGAAAAGAUUUGCCCAAGUUUAAAAAGUGGAAUCAAACCAGGACUAUGGACUACGUGUUGAAACUUCCAAUGUUUGAAGAUCUCCUUCUUUGCCCUUUGAACCAGGGAAUUUCUACUCAUCAUAUGAAAUUCAACUCCAAUGGCAGAACCUCUGAAACUUUUAUCAACCUAAGAAAGUUAUUAACCCGUCUGAAUUCUAUUUUAGAAGUUUCAUCCAGAGCAACAUUCUUUUCCUCAAAAUCUUCCAAUGGGCUCCAAUUAUAAGAAGAAUAAAAUGCAAAUUUCAUGCUAUGAAUGGAUACAGAACCUAGUUUCUUCUCCCGUCUUCUACCCAUUGAAGCCACACUGGCCUACAUGUUGUUCCUGUAUGUGCCAAGCAUUUUCUGGAGUCAGGGUUUGCAUCAGCUUUGUCCUCCACUGGGAAUGCUCUUCAUUCGGAUAACCAUUUGGCAUGCUCCCCUUCAUCAGAUUUGUUCUCAAAUGUCACUUCCUCAGAAAGGCCUUCCCUGACUUCUCUACUGUCAAACUCUA